rnacentral:rRNA from 1 species
UACGGGGGGAGCAAGCGUUGUUCGGAUUUACUGGGCGUAAAGGGCGCGUAGGCGGCCACCGCAAGUCGGUUGGGAAAUCUCUGGGCUUAACCCAGAAAGGUCAACCGAUACUGCGGGGCUAGAGUGCAGAAGGGGCAACUGGAAUUCUCGGUGUAGCGGUGAAAUGCGUAGAUAUCGAGAGGAACACCUGCGGCGAAGGCGGGUUGCUGGGCUGACACUGACGCUGAAGCGCGAAAGCUAGGGGAGCGAACGGG